rnacentral:rRNA from 1 species
UGGCGACCGGCGCACGGGUGAGUAACACGUAUCCAACCUGCCGAUGACUCGGGGAUAGCCUUUCGAAAGAAAGAUUAAUACCCGAUGGCAUAGUUCUUCCGCAUGGUAGAACUAUUAAAGAAUUUCGGUCAUCGAUGGGGAUGCGUUCCAUUAGCUUGUUGGCGGGGUAACGGCCCACCAGGCAUCGAUGGAUAGGGGUUCUGAGAGGAAGGUCCCCCACAUUGGAACUGAGACACGGUCCAAACUCCUACGGGAGGCAGCAG